rnacentral:rRNA from 1 species
GACGAACGCUGGCGGCGUGCUUAACACAUGCAAGUCGAACGGAAAGGCCCUGCUUUUGUGGGGUGCUCGAGUGGCGAACGGGUGAGUAACACGUGAGUAACCUGCCCUUGACUUUGGUAUAACUUCAGGAAACUGGGGCUAAUACCUGAUAGGAGCUCCUGCUGCAUGGUGGGGGUUGGAAAGUUUCGGCGGUUGGGGAUGGACUCGCGGCUUAUCAGCUUGUUGGUGGGGUAGUGGCUUACCAAGGCUUUGACGGGUAGCCGGCCUGAGAGGGUGACCGGCCAAAUUGGGACUGAGAUACGGCCCAGACUCCUACGGGAGGAAGCAGUGGGGAAUAUUGAACAAUGGGCGGAAGCCUGAUGCAGCAACGCCGCGUGCGGGAUGACGGCCUUCGGGUUGUAAACCGCUUUCGCCUGUGACGAAGCGUGAGUGACGGUAAUGGGUAAAGAAGCACCGGCUAACUACGUG